CGCGCGUCGACAUCGGACGCUAUGACACACUCGUGCCUUAUGUGCCACCGAAGCCCCGAAGUGGUCUGGCAUAUACCUUCACAUAUAUGCAAUGGCAAGCCCUUCCGUGUGUUCCAAAGACAAUGCCUACGCCUAGCCACAGCAGCUCCCUCAUACAGACUCCACAAACCAAGAGGCCGUGGAGGCAAAUGCAGGCAGCCAGCACACCUCGAACAGCCACCUUGACUGCGGGUGUGUCACCUUAGUCGCGAAGGAAACAUUUGAGGGAAAGUGACAGGCAACGUGAACAGCCACUUCUCCAUGUAAACAAUACUCUUUCUCUCGGAUGACUCCUACGCCUCACCACGCCAGCACACUUGUGCACAAAGAUGCCGCAGAGGCACGUGCAGGUCAGAGGCAAGAAGCAGUGGCACUGGUGUCGACAUUUACCCAAUUUCUUUUUCUUACACUGAGGCAGCCAGCACACCUCGAACAGCCACCUUGACUGCGGGUGUGUUAGUUGAUUCCUGUUGUACAUAUGCUCAUAAUAAACUUCAGUAAACUUGAACUUCAUAAUAAACUUGAAGGCAAAUGGGA